rnacentral:rRNA from 1 species
GGGCCCGCACAAGCGGUGGAGCAUGUGGUUUAAUUCGAUGAUACGCGAGGAACCUUACCAGGGCUUAAAUGUAGUGGGACAGGUCUAGAGAUAGACCCUUCUUCGGACUCAUUACAAGGUGCUGCAUGGUUGUCGUCAGCUCGUGCCGUGAGGUGUCAGGUUAAGUCCUAUAACGAGCGCAACCCCUAUCGUUAGUUGCCAGCGGGUAAUGCCGGGAACUCUAGCGAAACUGCCGGUGCAAACCGAGAGGAAGGUGGGGAUGACGUCAAAUCAUCACGGCCCUUACGUCCUGGCUACACACGUGCUACAAUGGGACGUACAAAGGGAAGCGAACCCGCGAGGGCAAGCA